rnacentral:sRNA from 12 species
UUUGAGCCGAGGGGCACUUGUGGAAACUUCAGAUCGGCGUCGAUCGGAAACCGUAGCAAAAAGCCCGCACCACGUGAAGGACUGACUGAAGCGUGAUGAAUACUGAGCUCUAAUGCAAAGAGCAGUCAGGCAGUAGUAAG